UUAGCGCCAUUAACGAGCUGCCAGGGGUGGUUCUCCUUCGCCCCACCUCCCUUCGGUGCCGCCACGUCGCGUCGAGAACGUGUUGACAUUCGCGUCGCAUUGAUUUCCGACCCACUUCCUCUUUACUUCCUCUUCCUCUUUACUUCCUCUUCCUCUUUACUUCCUCUUCCUCUUUACUUCCUCUUCCUCUUUACUUCCUCUUCCUCUUUACUUUCUCUUCCUCUUUACUUCCUCUUUACUUCUGUUCCACUUCAUUUCCGCUUUAUUUCCUCUUCCUCUCCUCUUUAUUUCCACUUUUUUUCCUCUUUAUAUCUCCAUUUCCGCUCCAUUUUCUCUCUGUUUCCGUUCCAUUUCCGCUCUAUUUCCGCUCCAUUUCCUCUUCCGCUCCUCUUUAUUUCCAUUUUAUUUCCUCUUUAUAUCUCCAUUUCCGCUCUGCAUUCACUCUACUUCCACUCCAUUUCCUCUUUAUUUCCACUCCACUUCAGUUUAUUUCUGCUCCACUUCUGCUCCCCAUUCACUUCCACUCCACUUUAUUUCCUCUUUACUUCCACUUCACUUCUGCUUUAUUUCUGCCUUAUUUCCUUUUUAUCUGCACUUCCGCUCUGCAUUUGCUCUACUUCCGCUCCAUUUCCGUUCCACUUCAUUUCCGCUUUAUUUCCUCUUCCACUCCUCUUUUUUCCCACUUUAUUUCCUGUUUCUGUCUCCACUUCCGCUCUGCAUUCGUUCCACUUCCACUGUGUUUCCUCUUUAUUUCCUCUUUACUUCCACUUCCGCUCCGCUUCAUUUUUGCUUUAUUUCUUCCACUCCAUUUCCUCUCCGUUUCCACUUUAUUUCCUCUUUAUCUCCACUCCACUUCCGCUCUGCAUUCACUCCACUUUCACUAUUUCCUCUUUAUUUCCUCUUCACUUCCACUCCACUUUAUUUCAUCAUUUUUUUCUGCUCUGCUUCCACUCCAUUUUUUCUUUAUUUCCUCUUUAUUUCUCUUUCUGCUCCAUUUCUGCUCCGCGCUUGGUCCAGUUCCGCUCUAUUUCCUCUUUAUUUCCUCUUCCGCUCCACUUCUCCAUCUCAUUUCCGCUUCUUUUCCUCUUCAUUUCCACUUCCGCUCUUCUUCUGCUCCUCUUCCGCUCCUCUUUUUGCUCCACAUUUCCUUUUUUCACCUUUUUUGCCACAUUUCCUCCAUUUUGUCACCACGUUGACCUCACCUCAGCAUUUCCUCAGCAUUUCCUCAGCAUUUCCUCAGCAUUUCCUCAGCAUUUCCUCAGCAUUUCCUCAAAUUUUUCACCACUUUUCAGCCAUUUCCUCGACCUUUUCUCCACUUUUCAGCCAUUUCCUCGACCUUUUUUCACUUUUCAACCAUUUCCUCGACCUUUUCUCCACUUUUCAUCCGUUUCCUCCACCUUUUCCCCACAUUUCCUCCAUUUCCUCAACCUUUUCCUCACAUUUCCUCCAUUUCCUCAACCUUUUCCCCAUGUUUCAUCCAUUUCCUCAACCUUUUCUCCACAUUUCCUCCAUUUUAAUUCCAUGUUGACAUCACUAACAUUUUCACGACAUUUCCUCAACAUUUUCCCCACUUUUCCUCCAUUUCCUCAACCUUUUCCCCUCUUUUCCUCCAUUUCCUCGACCUUUUCCCCUCUUUUCCUCCAUUUCCUCGACCUUUUCCCNUCAUUUCCUCCAUUUCCUCGACCUUUUCCCCUCAUUUCCUCCAUUUCCUCAACCUUUUCCCCUCAUUUCCUCCAUUUCCUCAACCUUUUCCCCUCAUUUCCUCCAUUUCCUCAACCUUUUCCCCACAUUUCAUCCAUUUUAAUUCCAUGUUGACAUCGCCUCAACAUUUUCACAACAUUUCCUCAACAUUUUCUCCACUUUUCAUCCACUUUCCCAACAUUUUCUCCACAUUUCAUUCAUUUUCUCCUCCUUUUCCCCAUGUUUCAUUCAUUUUGAUGCCACGUUGACAUGAUGUUGACUUUUUCUCAACAUUUUUGACUCAUUUCCUCAAUAUUUUCUCCACAUUUCUUCUGUUUUCUCAAGCUUUUUUUCCUCAUUUCCUCCAUGUUGAUGCCACAUUGACAUCACCUCAACAUUUCCUCGACCUUUCCUCCACAUUUCCUCCAUUUCCUCGACCUUUUCCCCACUUUUCCUCCAUUUCCUCAAUCUUUUCCCCACAUUGCCUCCAUUUCCUCGACCUUUUUUCCACUUUUCCUCCAUUUCCUCGACCUUUUUUCCACUUUUCCUCCAUUUCCUCGACCUUUUUUCCACUUUUCCUCCAUUUCCUCGACCUUUUUAUCCACUUUUCAUCCAUUUCCUCAUCCUUUUCUCCGCAUUUCCUCCAUUUUCCUUGACCUUUUCUCCACUUUUCCUCCAUUUUGCCUCCACAUUGGCCUCACCUCAACGUUUCCAUGGCAUUUCCUCAAUAUUUUCUCCACAUUUCAUCCAUUUUCUCGGCCUUUUCUCCACAUUUCCUCCAUUUUGACUCCAUGUUGACAUCACCUCAACAUUUCCUCGACAUUUUCUCCUCAUUUCAUCCAUUUUCCUUGACCUUUUCUCCACAUUUCCUCCAUUUUGAGUCUGCGUUGACCUCACCUCAACGUUUCCUCAUUCUUUUCUCCCCAUUUCCUCCAUUUUCCUUGACCUUUUCUCCACGUUUUCUCCAUUUUGAGUCCAUGUUGACCCCACCUCAACAUUUUCAUCCAUUUUCUCAACGUUUUCUCCACGUUUCAUCCAUUUUCUCGUUCUUUCCUCUACAUUUUCUCCAUUUUGAGUCCACAUUGACCUCAACUCAACAUUUCCAUGACAUUUCCUCAACCUUUUCUCCACAUUU
rnacentral:lncRNA from 1 species